UGCAGUCGAGCGCACCUUCGGGUGAGCGGCGGACGGGUUAGUAACGCGUGGGAACAUACCCUUUUCUACGGAAUAGCCUCGGGAAACUGAGAGUAAUACCGUAUAAGCCCUUCGGGGGAAAGAUUUAUCGGGAAAGGAUUGGCCCGCGUUAGAUUAGAUAGUUGGUGGGGUAAUGGCCUACCAAGUCUACGAUCUAUAGCUGGUUUUAGAGGAUGAUCAGCAACACUGGGACUGAGACACGGCCCAGACUCCUACGGGAGGCAGCAGUGGGGAAUCUUAGACAAUGGGCGCAAGCCUGAUCUAGCCAUGCCGCGUGUGUGAUGAAGGUCUUAGGAUCGUAAAGCACUUUCGCCAGGGAUGAUAAUGACAGUACCUGGUAAAGAAACCCCGGCUAACUCCGUGCCAGCAGCCGCGGUAAUACGGAGGGGGUUAGCGUUGUUCGGAAUUACUGGGCGUAAAGCGUACGUAGGCGGAUUGGAAAGUUGGGGGUGAAAUCCCAGGGCUCAACCCUGGAACUGCCUCCAAAACUAUCAGUCUAGAGUUCGAGAGAGGUGAGUGGAAUUCCAAGUGUAGAGGUGAAAUUCGUAGAUAUUUGGAGGAACACCAGUGGCGAAGGCGGCUCACUGGCUCGAUACUGACGCUGAGGUACGAAAGUGUGGGGAGCAAACAGGAUUAGAUACCCUGGUAGUCCACACCGUAAACGAUGAAUGCCAGUCGUCGGGCAGUAUACUGUUCGGUGACACACCUAACGGAUUAAGCAUUCCGCCUGGGGA
rnacentral:rRNA from 1 species